CCCCUCUCAGGAUCACACCUGGAGAGUUUCCAGUAUUCUACCAGUCUCGGCUAUGGACGGGAGAGUCAAGCAGAGGUCUACCCAUUCCAUUCCUAGCUUGGGCAGUGGCUUGCGAGUGCAAGGAAAUCUACUACAAGU